rnacentral:lncRNA from 1 species
UUGUGGUUAACACAUUUAAAAACAGUGAUCUAGUGUAAUUUUUUCCAUAAAGCUACAAGUUGAGUUAAAGGAAAAAAGUGGAUUUUUUAGAACAACACAUAACAGUUCAUGUGAUUUAUCAUACAAAUUUAUUAAACUGUACAUCAGUAAACAACCUAUUUUGGAGGUAGGAUAUCAUGAAAGAGUGUUGUACUGGUGGGAAUUUUCCAAAAGUGGAUUGGCAACACUGG